rnacentral:rRNA from 1 species
GGCCUGGUUGGGUGGUCUUGCCGCAAGGUAAGCACUGCUCCGAUCGGGUCUUUCCUUCUGGGGAACCAGCGUGCUCUUAAUUGGGUGCGUUGGGGAUCCAGGACUUUUACUUUGAAAAAAUUAGAGUGUUUAAAGCGGGCGCAUGCUCGAAUAGAUUAGCAUGGAAUAAUGGAAUAGGAC